rnacentral:rRNA from 1 species
UACGUAGGGUGCGAGCGUUAAUCGGAAUUACUGGGCGUAAAGCGUGCGCAGGCGGUCUGUUAAGACCGAUGUGAAAUCCCCGGGCUCAACCUGGGAACUGCGUUUGAAACUACAAGGCUAGAGUGUAGCAGAGGGGGGUAGAAUUCCACGUGUAGCAGUGAAAUGCGUAGAGAUGUGGAGGAAUACCAAUGGCGAAGGCAGCCCCCUGGGUUAACACUGAC